GAGCGAACGGGGAGGAGCCCAGAGCCUGAAUCAGCAUGUGUGUUAGUGGAAGCGUCUGGAAAGGCGCGCGAUACAGGGUGACAGCCCCGUACACAAAAGCGCAUGUGCUGUGAGCUCGAUGAGUAGGGCGGGACACGUGGUAUCCUGUCUGAAUAUGGGGGGACCAUCCUCCAAGGCUAAAUACUCCUGACUGACCGAUAGUGAACCAGUACCGUGAGGGAAAGGCGAAAAGAACCCCGGCGAGGGGAGUGAAAAAGAACCUGAAACCGUGUACGUACAAGCAGUGGGAGCCCCACCACUAAGCCAGUGGUGAACUCCACAUACGCAUCCUUUGCUGAGGAUACGGUUAACGGAGCGAAAGCGACGUUCAACCUCAAAAGAAGCAGAGGGGGCUUAGUGGUGGGGUGACUGCGUACCUUUUGUAUAAUGGGUCAGCGACUUAUAUUCUGUAGCAAGGUUAACCGUAUAGGGGAGCCGCAGGGAAACCGAGUCUUAACCGGGCGUUAAGUUGCAGGGUAUAGACCCGAAACCCGGUGAUCUAGCCAUGGGCAGGUUGAAGGUUGGGUAACACUAACUGGAGGACCGAACCGACUAAUGUUGAAAAAUUAGCGGAUGACCUGUGGCUGGGGGUGAAAGGCCAAUCAAACCGGGAGAUAGCUGGUUCUCCCCGAAAGCUAUUUAGGUAGCGCCUCGUGAACUCAUCUCCGGGGGUAGAGCACUGUUUCGGCUAGGGGGCCAUCCCGGCUUACCAACCCGAUGCAAACUGCGAAUACCGGAGAAUGUUAUCACGGGAGACACACGGCGGGUGCUAACGUCCGUCGUGAAGAGGGAAACAACCCAGACCGCCAGCUAAGGUCCCAAAGUCAUGGUUAAGUGGGAAACGAUGUGGGAAGGCCCAGACAGCCAGGAUGUUGGCUUAGAAGCAGCCAUCAUUUAAAGAAAGCGUAAUAGCUCACUGGUCGAGUCGGCCUGCGCGGAAGAUGUAACGGGGCUAAACCAUGCACCGAAGCUGCGGCAGCGACACUAUGUGUUGUUGGGUAGGGGAGCGUUCUGUAAGCCUGUGAAGGUGGCCUGUGAGGGUUGCUGGAGGUAUCAGAAGUGCGAAUGCUGACAUAAGUAACGAUAAAGCGGGUGAAAAGCCCGCUCGCCGGAAGACCAAGGGUUCCUGUCCAACGUUAAUCGGGGCAGGGUGAGUCGACCCCUAAGGCGAGGCCGAAAGGCGUAGUCGAUGGGAAACGGGUUAAUAUUCCCGUACUUGGUGUUACUGCGAAGGGGGGACGGAGAAGGCUAUGUUGGCCGGGCGACGGUUGUCCCGGUUUAAGCGUGUAGGCUGGUUUUCCAGGCAAAUCCGGAAAAUCAAGGCUGAGGCGUGAUGACGAGGCACUACGGUGCUGAAGCAACAAAUGCCCUGCUUCCAGGAAAAGCCUCUAAGCAUCAGGUAACAUCAAAUCGUACCCCAAACCGACACAGGUGGUCAGGUAGAGAAUACCAAGGCGCUUGAGAGAACUCGGGUGAAGGAACUAGGCAAAAUGGUGCCGUAACUUCGGGAGAAGGCACGCUGACAUGUAGGUGAAGUGAUUUACUCAUGGAGCUGAAGUCAGUCGAAGAUACCAGCUGGCUGCAACUGUUUAUUAAAAACACAGCACUGUGCAAACACGAAAGUGGACGUAUACGGUGUGACGCCUGCCCGGUGCCGGAAGGUUAAUUGAUGGGGUCAGCGCAAGCGAAGCUCCUGAUCGAAGCCCCGGUAAACGGCGGCCGUAACUAUAACGGUCCUAAGGUAGCGAAAUUCCUUGUCGGGUAAGUUCCGACCUGCACGAAUGGCGUAAUGAUGGCCAGGCUGUCUCCACCCGAGACUCAGUGAAAUUGAACUCGCUGUGAAGAUGCAGUGUACCCGCGGCAAGACGGAAAGACCCCGUGAACCUUUACUAUAGCUUGACACUGAACAUUGAGCCUUGAUGUGUAGGAUAGGUGGGAGGCUUUGAAGUGUGGACGCCAGUCUGCAUGGAGCCGACCUUGAAAUACCACCCUUUAAUGUUU
rnacentral:rRNA from 1 species